rnacentral:lncRNA from 1 species
UCUUCGCAGCUGACAGCUCCACCUUAAGGGCGCUGAUCCUGGCUUCUUGAGCCCAAGUUCGGUCGCUGGCGCUUUUCUUACAUUCCUCGAGCUCCUUUGUGAAGUUUGCCUUUCUCUGGCUGUAAUCCAUGAUGGCCUUCACUUGGAGACUCCUAAAGUGGGCGGCCUCAGCGGCGGCUUCGGAAUGACAUUCUCUCAACUUGCGGAGCUCGCCCUCCGACUUCUUCAACUUCUUCGUCAGGUGGAGGACCUCCUUUUUCAUCCGCUGAAUAGUUGACUUCAGCGGGACCCCCAGGGGCAAGGAAAGUGCUUCAGCAGGGCACUGCCAUCGGAAGGUGCAAGCGUCAAAGACCGACUCAUUACAAGAAGAAAGGCAGAAAGGAGGAGGGGGAAGGAGAGACCAUCCACAAUAAGAAAUUCAACUUUAUUGAUUAAUUUUGAAGACAAACAGAAAGGAAAUAUGGGGACAAAAUAAGGGUACAAGAUCGGAGGUCUCAGACCUCAGGGGCAGGAGGUGGAGGACUCGACGCGGGGGGUGCGACUGCGGUGGCGGCGGACGAAGGGCCGGCCUCGUCUUUAGAUUCCUCAAGAAAGCCGAGAUCG